UAAAAGACAGGAGCUGUUCUGGUGCAGUU
rnacentral:piRNA from 1 species